AGACAAAAGCUCUAAUGGACAAACUUCAGAAGACUAUUUCAUCUGAAGGAAGAUUUAAAAGUCUCAGAGAAACCCUUAAAAAUUGUAACCCCCCAGCAGUUCCUUACCUUGGAAUGUACUUGACAGACCUGGCAUUUAUUGAAGAAGGAACACCAAACUUUACCGAGGAAGGCCUUGUCAACUUUUCCAAAAUGAGAAUGGUAGGUGAUAAUUUCAUACUCAGCCUUUUACAGUUGACUUCAGUGGUUUGUAGAGAAGGGGUGAAUGAGUUGUGAAGUCACUGUUUGCUUUUUAGUCCCAUGGUGGAGACAAUGGUGAACAGGUACUAGGUCUAGCACCUGAUUCUGCUGAUGGAGGAAAAAUUGGCAGGACAAUUACAGCUUGUAAUAUGGACAAAGGGGUUGGGGAAUAAAGCUCCAGGGUUGACUUUUUAAGACUAACCAGUGAUAGACCGAUACUAAAGGCUUCCUGAUAGACAACCAGGGUCUGAGCACCAAGUUAGAAACAAGAAGCCUAUGGACAAUGACACCCAGAGCUUGCCACUACCAAGCCUGUGUCUACCCAAUGCCAGAUGUUCCCCUGACUGUGAAUCCAGUAUCUUCUUGCUGUUGGCGUGCCACGUGGUGUGUUAAAGGGCAAGAAAGCACUGGGCAUUGAGGAUGAUUGUGCUGUAGAUAUGGGGCCUGUAAUACAAGGAAAUAACUUUGCUUUGCUUUUGUUGUUAUUCUUCGUAGAUAUCACACAUCAUCAGAGAGAUUCGCCAGUUCCAGCAGACUUCCUACCGAAUAGACCAUCAGCCAAAGGUUACUCAGUACUUGCUUGACAAAACUCUCAUCAUAGAUGAAGACACUUUAUAUGAGCUGUCACUAAAAAUUGAACCUCGACUCCCGGCUUGAAGACUGGCCUUGCCCUGCGUCCACAGGAUUUUCACGGGAAGCAGGACGGACAGAAAUUGCGUGCCAUGCCUCCCAUGGUGCAGGGAGAGGACGGAGGAGACGAUCCAGUCUCCUUUCUCCACCAAAGAAGGCAAAACCAGUUGUGAAUUGUCUCCCAUAAGGGAGGCACAACUGUUUGGGAUGAAAGACAAAUGCUUCAGACUUGGGUGGGCAGGUGAACAGAUUGAUAUUUGGUAAAGCUGAUGGCACAUUGUGUGUUAAGGGAAUGUAAGGUGGGAGGUGCUAGUAGCCAUUUUAAUGAAGCAAGUAAGAAAACAAAUUGUAAACUCUGUCCCACGUUCUGUUAGAACCUGGGACAAGGAUUUGUAGAAGAGACCUGUGAUGGUUCUCUGGCACUUUACAGGCCUGGACACACCUACCAACCCUCCUAGGAUUUAAUGGCAUCUAUUACAUUGCCUUUUGUUAUAAGCUUCACAGAAAAGCCUAGGCUUCCCCUGUAGGGAUGGGCCAACACAUAAGCAAUUUCAAUUUCCAGCAUGUGCAUGGUUUUCAAUGCAUUAUAAAUAUUUACAUUUGAGGAAUGCUAUGUUCUGAAAUGGCCUUUUCAAUAUCUAGGCAAGUGGACAGGAAAAAAAUGAUGAAAGGCAUAUGGAUUUGUACAUAACAUUUCCUUAAUUAAGAAUCAGUAGGCUGUGCUGCAGAGAAUUCCAGCCAGUGGGUGUCUGGAGAGGAGGGAGGCUUUCUCCUGGUGCCCAAGAAGCCAGCUCCCUGGAGAGACAGGUGCUGAGUGUACAGAAGAUGGCUCAUUAAGGUGCACGCUCCCUUACCACCAAAACCCGAGAACAAGAUAAAAGGCCACAAGUGCUAUAGUGGGCCUCAAUGUUAUGUGAAAAUAUAUACUUAAAAAUUAUCUCUGCACCUGGCUUUGCUUUUUCUUUUUUUUUUAAACCCCUCUCAUUGUUAUGUGGGAAUCGUUUCUGAUUUACACAAAACUUUUUUAGACUCACUAUGAAUAUUGGUUUUUUUUUUUAAGGAAAGUUAUUUAAUAGGAUUUUCCUUUUUAAAACCAUACUGUCAUGAGCUGUUGGUAGACAGUUCUCCCCCAGCCAUCUUUAAAACAAAAACAAAAACAAAUUUUUUGAGAUAUUUCCAAGUGAAAAUAUUGUAAGUGCAUAGGAAAUGGACCCAACCACCCAAUAGCUCUUGUAUCAGAAAACCAAAUGCAGGGUUAGUCCUGCUACUCUAGGCUGGGGAAGUGACCUCGCUUUUCCCAAGAUUGUAACCUGUUGAAGAAACAGUGCUAUCUUGUUGUUUACCUCCCUCUUCUUUUCUCAGGGAGAAUGCUGCUUUAAAGGAAGGACAAGAACAAAAUAUAGAGAUACCAUUACCUGAGCCUAUGGCACUGACAUUUUCUUAGAGGCAUGAAGCUUAUCGAUGCUGACAAUGAAAAAUUGACCUGUCUGGCUGUUUUCCUUCUUUCUUUGCACUUUAAUUAUGUUGUUAGAGCUAACAGCUGACCAAUAAAUUCCACUUGUGGGCUCUUAAGACCCAUGAAAGUGCUGGCAUUGAUAAUGUACCAUAGAGAUGGAGAAUGUUCAUUUUCUGCACCAUAACAGCCAUCUCUGUACCUAACUAUAUAGUGAAAUAUCAACUAAGAAAAUACUUAUAGUAUUUGGAGACCAUUCCAAAAAUAUUUUCAGUAGCUCAUAUUAGCCAACUGUGUAGCGCUAAACUCGAGAAGGGUUAUUUAUGGAUGCUUUAUUUUUCUUUUUUUAAAAAAAGUUGCUUGUUUGUUCCUUUUAAUAUCAAAUAAGAGGUUGACACAUAUUUAUGCAUGAUAGGAAGCAUGGGUUGUUUGGAUCCUAACAAUGCGUAACUUGCAAUUUAUGUGUUCAGAAUGCAGGGUUUCAAAUAAUAUACAUAGGUUGCUCCAAACACAUCAAGGUUUUAAAGAAGAAAAGGAAAGUAAAGAUUAGUUCAAAAACAUAGUCUUGCAAGUGAACUAAAACCAGGAUAAAUCAAUGAAAGGACCACACACAUUCUAGCGUCAUGCAAAACAACACACGGGAAAGUCAAUGCCUUCUACUUCAACUUGGAGUCCCCAAAAUCCCUCAGAGGGAAGGAGAUGGUUGAGUGUGUCCUUUCCACAGUCCAGCUUUUGAGUUUGUCUCUAUUGUUGGAGUGUGCACUCCUGGCUGUCUCUGCCUGGAUUCCAUUAUGUGAGAUUCCAUUUCUAAAAGUAGAUGGAAGGUCAGCCCUCAACAACCAAGUAGCGAACACUUAUGCUGCAAAAUUAACCUAGAAAAUCAGAAGUAAAAUCCAAUUUUAUGCUUACAGAUGAAUACGCACAUUUUUUCAUCGUCAAUGAACUUAUCUUGGGGCUUUUAGGGGUUGCCUUUGGAUAUUAACUAAGAAGUCCAGUUUCGCUGCAGGGACACAUCUCUUACCUGAGCCAGAACGUUAUUGGACAGAAUCAGACAUGAAGUAGAACUUUGUCACUUUUCCUUAGUGUUUCCCCAAAGGAAUUGAAAGAGGGAUUUUUAAACUGCUGCUGUAAUAUUUCCAAGCGGCUUUAUGGUUUGGGUUUAUUACACAAAGUCGCUGAUAGUGGUUGUUAAAUUUUAAUAUACCUUACAAUGCUGCUUGACAUGUGUGAUAGACCAGCACCUCUGUCUCACAGUAUUACGUGAGACAAAACGUUGGACCAGCAAAGACUGAGUGGCUUUUAAAUUCUUAACUAAAAAUAAUAAUGCAAUAGAGGAGUUACUCCCCAUAAAAUUAACUUUUGUUUAUUUGAAAACAAAAAUUUUAUUUAGCUUUUCUUUUCCAAGUUGGAAAAUGUUGAUCCAACCUGCAAAAUUAAGCAUUUUUACUAGAAAUGAAAUGGGAUAAAAGAUAACGUUAUUUAUGGCCAAAGAGCAGAGCCAGACUAAUGUCCAGAGCAAGAAGGCAUAAACAGAUGAGAUUGAUUUUCAUUUUCGUAUCGGUUAGAGACGAGGUGAAAGUUUGAAGAAUGAGUUGAUUGAGGUGCCACCAUGUGGUUCCUGGUAAUAAGACUCGAGUCGGUGAAAUAUAAUCAGAGUGUCAUUCUCAGUGGCUGCUGGUGACUGAGGCAGAGCAGAGGUAAAGUAGAAAACAAUCGUUUUGUCCCAGGUAUAAAUACUUGAAUGAUUCAGCAAAUUAUUCAUCCCAGCUACCACCAGCAUGACAUUAACAUCAGGUUUGAUUGUAUUUGUUCUGAUUUGUUCAUGGAAAAUAACACUUCUGCUUCGUGAUGUUGAGCCACUAUCCUUUAACAACCCAUUUCAUUUUUUAUUAGAAAGGCAGUUGUGAAAGGGCACUGAACUGGGAUCCCCAGCCCUGAAUCCAAGGCCUGGAUCUACAUCUACUAGCUGGGAAACCUUAGGCCAGUGCUUAAGCCUCUCUGAGCCUCAGUUUCCUCUUCUUCAAAAUAUAAUAGUAAUUCCUGUGCUGUCUACCUCACAGGGCUGUCGUUAGCACUAAAUGGGUUAGACUGUAAACUGUAAAGUACUGUUCAAAUGUGAGGUAACAUGAUUACCAUCCUCGGCUCUCUUUUGCAAAGGAUUUAAAUGUAUUUUUUUCUUACUUGUGUGUGUGUAUGUGAUGGUCUCUAUUCUCUCCUAUAGGGUCACUUUGAGUUGAAAUCAAUUCCACAGCAAGUUUGGUUUCUUUUUUUUUGUUUUUGUGAUGGACAAACCCAUGCAUUACUUUGAGAAACAUAUUGUUUGUGUCCAGUUACUUUGCCAACCCACCAACAUUUGUGAUUCUGACAGAGAGGGAUUUGUGCUGUGGCCUAACACUUUGGGUGAGGUAUGGGUUAUGCCUUUAUGCAAAUUAAACUUAGUCUUUCUUGAAUUCUCAAAAAUCUCAUUAGUUUUUCAUUUAACUCUUGCAUUUUUCUACCUUGUUGUCUUCAUUGCAGUGAGCUACCUUGGUGUUCAGGUAUUCUUUAACCUCUAAAACUUUGGAGAAAAAAAACAACAAAAGAACAGUUUAGAAGUAGUCCAUGUUGCAGGCACUAAAAUAUUAGAUAAUUUGG